UUGGGUGGUUCGAGCUACUAAGCAGGAGGGGAGAAGGAAAUGCAAGGUGUCUGGGAAGCUUGGAGGCUGCAAAUGUUCUUUCCCCAUAUCUUACCUGAAAAGACAGUCCAGAGAAGCACAACGAAGAGCCCCAUGACUGGAAGGAAGUGAACCUUCACCUGGAAUGAGGGGAUCCUGACAUCGUCAAGAACCAGCCUCUCCGAUGGCUCCCGGCAUUCGUGCUGUUGUUCCCUCUUCAGCCGAAUCAGGGCUGGCCUGUGUGAUCAAGAAAACCAAUGAAAAUUAGAUAGCAAUUGAUAAUUUGUGUGGUCAUAGUUUUUAAAAUCAGUAUUAUUUCUGAGAAAGCUGCGUGCAAAUCGUGCACUGGGAAUGGCUCGGAGAAAGUGCCGUGAAACCAAAGAAAAGCACCAACAGAAGGAGAAAUGGAUUGUGCCCAGACGUCAGUGAAGUGCGCAAGUCAUGAAAAGGUGAUGUUCUAAAGCAAAUGAGAGGCCCGGAGUUAUAGAGAAUGGACAGAUGUGUCUUAUCGGUAUCCUGACUCCCAGGUGGUGCAGUUAGUUCUCCUGGUGCCUCAUAAGGGUAGAAUUAAUUUUUGCUCCUUAGAUGGGCAAACUAAGAAGAUGAAUGGGUAAGAAGCAGAAGCCCACUGAUCAUUUAAAAACUACCUUUUAG